AGUGAACGCUGGCGGUAGGCCUAACACAUGCAAGUCGAACGGCAGCACAGUAAGAGCUUGCUCUUACGGGUGGCGAGUGGCGGACGGGUGAGGAAUACAUCGGAAUCUACUUUUUCGUGGGGGAUACCGUAGGGAAACUUACGCUAAUACCGCAUACGACCUACGGGUGAAAGCAGGGGAUCUUCGGACCUUGCGCGAUUGAUUGAGCCGAUGUCGGAUUAGCUAGUUGGCGGGGUAAAGGCCCACCAAGGCGACGAUCCGUAGCGGGUCUGAGAGGAUGAGCAGCCAGACUGGAACUGGAACACGGCCCAGACUCCUACGGGAGGCAGCAGUGGGGAAUAGUGGACAAUGGGCGCAAGCCUGAUCCAGCCAUGCCGCGUGGGUGAAGAAGGCCUGCGGGUUGUAAAGCACUUUUGUUGGGAAAGAAAAGCAGCAUGUUAAUACCCCGCUGUUCUGACGGUACCCAAAGAAUAAGCACCGGCUAACUUCGUG
rnacentral:rRNA from 1 species